rnacentral:ncRNA from 1 species
UAGGCGUAUCCUGAAAAGCCUUAGAUGAGUAAGGA